GGUCUCGUAGUUCAACGGAUAGAAUAGAAGUUUCCUAAACUUUUGAUACAGGUUCGAUUCCUGUCGAGACUACUA
rnacentral:tRNA from 1 species